rnacentral:rRNA from 1 species
GAUGAACGCUGGCGGCGUGCCUAAUACAUGCAAGUCGAGCGAACAGACGAGGAGCUGGCUCCUCUGACGUUAGCGGCGGACGGGUGAGUAACACGUGGAUAACCUACCUAUAAGACUGGGAUAACUUCGGGAAACCGGAGCUAAUACCGGAUAAUAUAUUGAACCGCAUGGUUCAAUAGUGAAAGACGGUUUUGCUGUCACUUAUAGAUGGAUCCGCGCCGCAUUAGCUAGUUGGUAAGGUAACGGCUUACCAAGGCGACGAUGCGUAGCCGACCUGAGAGGGUGAUCGGCCACACUGGAACUGAGACACGGUCCAGACUCCUACGGGAGGCAGCAGUAGGGAAUCUUCCGCAAUGGGCGAAAGCCUGACGGAGCAACGCCGCGUGAGUGAUGAAGGUCUUCGGAUCGUAAAACUCUGUUAUUAGGGAAGAACAAAUGUGUAAGUAACUAUGCACGUCUUGACGGUACCUAAUCAGAAAGCCACGGCUAACUACGUG